rnacentral:lncRNA from 1 species
GUGGUGUUCAUCUCAUCCUAAAGACUUGCUUACGAAGGAAUCCAGAAUUCAAAUUCUAGGUAUUAUAUUAAAAGAAGAACCUAAAUGCAUGUAUCUUAUUUAUCUAAUCCAGAUCAAAAACCUGUCCUGCUAGCCUAACAAAAAAGGGAUGGAUUGGCUUAACCAAAAAAAAAAAAAAAGUAGCCCGAGAAUUAGGAUCAUCCGAAAAUAAGAAAAGUUUAAUAGC